CCUCCAUGGCAGUUUGCUCCUCGCCGCCGGCAAACCAAUCCGCCACGCCAUCACCUCCCACCACCAACGUCGUAGUCAGCCACCGGCCGCCGGCCGCCUCCCAACUCCUUCCGCACCCAAACCGUGGCUUGCUCGCCCCAUGAACCCCCCAUCUCCUUCCUGCCACCACCUGAAACCCUAGGCCGCCGCCACCAGGAACCUCCCCACAACAACCUCCUUCUGCGCCGCCCCAGCAAUCCCAUCGUAGUGACCAAAAAUCAUGCCUCUUCUCACUGAACCAGAUGCUCCCGGUGCUCUAGAUCUGUGCCUUUAGGGGUGGCUGCUGGGCACGUUGUUUGCCGCUGCUGUCCGCCACAUCUCAAGCUUCUGCAGUAUAUUGAUGAGGGAAUGUUUGAUUGAGUUUUCACCGGUGACUUAGAUCUGUCCUAGUGCUGCUGUUAUCUUCCCUACUAAUGCCCCCAAAUCAUAGACAUCCUGAACUACUAUUUGAGAUGGUACCUCUGAGGUAUCAACUCAAUAAAGUGUGGCCUUGUCUCAACAUAAUGUGGUCUUGACUUGACAUGUGAAGCACACCUAUCUUGUAUGUGAGGCCAUUCAACAUCUACAUCUGACUAUCUCCAUGCCUAGUCCAUGUUGUAUUAUUGUUUUAAGUUUUUACAAAGGAACUAUGAAAGUAGCUUAGUUAGAACCAUGUUGUGCACUGUUUACAAUCUGAUACUGUUUCAUUUGGCUUCUAGAAGGCCAUCAUGCUACAAUACAAGGAAAUGCCA